GGAAAAUAUCAAUGGCUUCUGUAAUACAUGGUGGUAUCUUCAAAGUGGUUUCUCAGGAAGACAGAGAUAUGCAAGAAGGAUCUAAUAAGUAGUUACAGCCUAAGGGUUGUCAAAAAUAGCAUAUUACCUCCUCGCCAGUGACUCCUUUCACUGAGGUAUGAUGGCUGGAAGGAAGGCCAGGAUUGAAAAGAAGGACCGAGAGACUUGCACCUAUGUCUAGCAACAGGCUGUUUUCUUGUUCCUCCAUAGUCAUGAUUACCCAGGACUCCUCGAUGGAGAUGACGGUCUGGCCAGAGGGAGAAGGCAGACCAUGCCCCAAGCCCUCUCAUUCCUGUUGGACUAACUGGUAGCAUGGGUCUGAGCUCUGGGGACUCCACCUCAGAGGGCAGACCGAUCUCCAGUGGUCUCCUUUGCAUCCAGGGCAUGGCCCGUGGGGCCUCUUAGGGCAGUUCCUCUUGAGGUGGCCUGGCUUUUAACAGUGGUAGCAGAUGACUGCAGUUGUCGAGUUCUUCUUGGAGCCCCGGGAAUCAGACCUGGGAUCUGUUUCUCUUCGUGGUGCAGCAAAAGCAGCUGCUUUUUCUCGGUCUCUUUGUUUUCUCUCCUUGGCCUCCUCCUCAUCAUCACUAUAGAAUGCUGAGGAGGCAAUUCUUACUAACAUCUCAAGUGAGCUAUCUGGGGUGAAAGCCAUUCUUUGUAGCUUUUUCUCUCCAGCUUCCCAUUGCUUUGGGACCCCACAACCAGUUAGUGUCCUCUCCCCAACUGUCAGCACAGGCAGCAGGAAUCCUGCUGCAGACUUCUCCAGAGCUCCACCACAGCCUGUACUGUCAGGGGAAGAAUGGCUUCCAAUGAGUCUCUGCAGAUCUCAAUUGAGCGGCAGCGGCCGGCCUAAGGGCCGGCGCGCAAUAGCUCUCGCUGCCGCAUGGCUCCCCAUGCGCUGGGGGCCAACCCUCUGGGAGCCACCAGGCAGGAAGCUAGCCAGCCGGAAGACUGGCGCUACCCACCCACGGCUCCCUGUGCGCUGGAAGCCCUCCUUCCGGGGAACGACAAGGCUGGGAGUGAGUCGCCGGUCCAAA
rnacentral:lncRNA from 1 species